UCAAACUUGGUCAUUUAGAGGAAGUAAAAGUCGUAACAAGGUUUCCGUAGGUGAACCUGCGGAAGGAUCAUUAAUGAAUUUAAUGUGGAGUUGGUUGUAGCUGGUCCAUUUGGAUUUUUUAAAUAAUUUCCUUUGGGCAUGUGCACACCUUCUCUUUCAUCCACACACACCUGUGAACUUGUGAGGCAGAUUUGCUCUUUGGGGACUUUAACUAGAAACCAAUUAAGCUGCUGUCUACUUAAUUUACACACACUCUAUUUAUUUUAAAAUGAAUGUAAUUGAUGUAACGCAUCUAAUACUAAGUUUCAACAACGGAUCUCUUGGCUCUCGCAUCGAUGAAGAACGCAGC
rnacentral:misc_RNA from 1 species